UGGAUCCAGACUUUGAUCCUGGCUCAGGAUGAACGCUAGCUACAGGCUUAACACAUGCAAGUCGAGGGGAAACGAUAUUGGAAGCUUGCUCCCGAUAGGCGUCGACCGGCGCACGGGUGAGUAACGCGUAUCCAACCUGCCCAUCACUUGGGGAUAACCUUGCGAAAGUAAGACUAAUACCCAAUGAUAUCUCAAGAAGACAUCUGAAUGAGAUUAAAGAUUUAUCGGUGAUGGAUGGGGAUGCGUCUGAUUAGCUUGUUGGCGGGGUAACGGCCCACCAAGGCGACGAUCAGUAGGGGUUCUGAGAGGAAGGUCCCCCACAUUGGAACUGAGACACGGUCCAAACUCCUACGGGAGGCAGCAGUGAGGAAUAUUGGUCAAUGGGCGAGAGCCUGAACCAGCCAAGUAGCGUGCAGGAUGACGGCCCUAUGGGUUGUAAACUGCUUUUAUAAGGGAAUAAAGUGAGCCUCGUGAGGCUUUUUGCAUGUACCUUAUGAAUAAGGACCGGCUAAUUCCGUGCCAGCAGCCGCGGUAAUACGGAAGGUCCGGGCGUUAUCCGGAUUUAUUGGGUUUAAAGGGAGCGUAGGCCGGAGAUUAAGCGUGUUGUGAAAUGUAGAUGCUCAACAUCUGCACUGCAGCGCGAACUGGUUUCCUUGAGUACGCACAAAGUGGGCGGAAUUCGUGGUGUAGCGGUGAAAUGCUUAGAUAUCACGAAGAACUCCGAUUGCGAAGGCAGCUCACUGGAGCGCAACUGACGCUGGAGCUCGAAAGUGCGGGUAUCGAACAGGAUUAGAUACCCUGGUAGUCCGCACGGUAAACGAUGGAUGCCCGCUGUUGGUCUGAAUAGGUCAGCGGCCAAGCGAAAGCAUUAAGCAUCCCACCUGGGGAGUACGCCGGCAACGGUGCAACUCAAAUGAAUUGACGGA
rnacentral:rRNA from 1 species